AACAGGAUUAGAUACCCUGGUAGUCCACGCCGUAAACGAUGUCGACUAGCCGUUGGGCUCCUUGAGAGCUUUGUGGCGCAGUUAACGCGAUAAGUCGACCGCCUGGGGAGUACGGCCGCAAGGUUAAAACUCGAAUGAAUUGACGGGGGCCCGCACAAGCGGUGGAGCAUGUGGUUUAAUUCGAUGCAACGCGAAGAACCUUACCUACCCUUGACAUCGUGCGAACUUUCCAGAGAUGGAUUGGUGCCUUCGGGAACGCACAGACAGGUGCUGCAUGGCUGUCGUCAGCUCGUGUUGUGAAAUGUUGGGUUAAGUCCCGUAACGAGCGCAACCCUUGUCCUUAUUUGCCAGCGAGUCAUGUCGGGAACUCUAAGGAGACUGCCGGUGACAAACCGGAGGAAGGUGGGGACGACGUCAAGUCAUCAUGGCCCUUACGGGUAGGGCUACACACGUGCUACAAUGGCCGGUACAAAGGGUUGCGAAGCCGCGAGGUGGAGCUAAUCCCGAAAAGCUGGUCUCAGUCCGGAUCGGAGUCUGCAACUCGACUCCGUGAAGUCGGAAUCGCUAGUAAUCGUGAAUCAGAAUGUCACGGUGAAUACGUUCCCGGGCCUUGUACACACCGCCCGUCACACCAUGGGAGCGGACUGCACCAGAAGUGGUUAGCCUAACUUCGGAGGGCGAUCACCACGGUGUGGUUCAUGACUGGGGUGAAGUCGUAACAAGGUAACC
rnacentral:rRNA from 1 species